rnacentral:rRNA from 1 species
UACAGAGGUCCCGAGCGUUGUUCGGAUUCACUGGGCGUAAAGGGUGCGUAGGUGGCAUGUUAAGUUUGAUGUGAAAGCUCAGGGCUUAACCCUGAAAUGGCAUUGAAUACUAGCGUGCUGGAGGUUUGGAGGGGGGACUGGAAUUCUCGGUGUAGCAGUGAAAUGCGUAGAUAUCGAGAGGAACACCAGUGGCGAAGGCGAGUCCCUGGACAACACCUGACACUGGGGCACGAAAGCCGGGGGAGCAAACAGG